rnacentral:rRNA from 1 species
UACAGAGGUCUCAAGCGUUGUUCGGAUUUACUGGGCGUAAAGGGCGCGUAGGCGGCUUAACAAGUCACUUGUGAAAUCUCCGGGCUUAACUCGGAACGGCCAAGUGAAACUGUCAAGCUAGAGUGCAGAAGGGGCAAUCGGAAUUCUUGGUGUAGCGGUGAAAUGCGUAGAUAUCAAGAGGAACACCAGCGGCGAAGGCGGCAUCCUGGACUGGUACUGACGCUCAUGAGCGAAAGCGUGGGGAGCGAUCCGG